AAAUACCCCCUCCUCCUCUAGUGCACCUGUGUGUGUGUUUGUAUUGUAGGGCUUUCACAAAUGAAUUAAAAGGCGAGGAGUGUGCAGAAAGUUUUCAGAGUAAAUUAGGAGCCUGUAACUAUCUCCAGUUACUCUCCUCGUAUGAGAAAAGCAAUCACUGAAUAUUGAAGUACGUUGGCUCUCAGGAAUUUGGUCUCAAUAGCCUACGCAAGUUGAAGGCAGAAGAGAUCUCAUCAUAUGUUGCCUGUUGGAGUUCCUUGGAGAGCCGGGAGAGGAGCUGAUCAAAGACUGCCAGGAACAUUUCAAAAAUUUGGGAUUUGCUGAUGAUUAUUCUCACCAUAGUAAAUGUACAAACUCCGUUUCCAUAUUAGUUGGGAAAUUGUGUUUGAUGUAAAUAUAAACGGAAUACAAUGAUUUGCAAAUCAUUUUCAACCCAUAUUCAGUUGAAUAUGCUACAAACACAACAUAUUUGAUGUUCAAACUGAUAAACGUCACAAAGAAGUUGGGAAAGGUGUAAAUGAAUACUGAUAAAGUUGAGGAAUGCUCAUCAAACACUUAUUUAGAACAUCCCAGAGGUGUGCAGGCUAAUUGGGAACAGUUGGGUGCCAUGAUUGGGUAUAGAAGCAGCUUCCAUGAAAUACUAAGUAAUUCACAAACAAAGAUGGGCAAAGGGUCACCAAUUUGUAAG